AGCGCAGGCGGGAAGACAAGUUGGAAGUGAAAUCUAUGGGCUCAACCCAUAAACUGCUUUCAAAACUGUUUUUCUUGAGUAGUGCAGAGGUAGAUGGAAUUCCCGGUGUAGCGGUGGAAUGCGUAGAUAUCGGGAGGAGCACCAGUGGCGAAGGCGGUCUACUGGGCACCAACUGGCGCUGAGGCUCGAAAGCAUGGGUAGCAAACA
rnacentral:rRNA from 1 species